rnacentral:rRNA from 1 species
GACGAACGCUGGCGGCGUGCUUAACACAUGCAAGUCGAACGAAGUGGCGAACGGGUGAGUAAUACGUGAGUAACCUGCCCUCCUUUUUGGGAUAAGCCUUGGAAACGGGGUCUAAUACCGAAUAAAGGGGGAUGGGCUCGCGGCCUAUCAGCUUGUUGGUGGGGAGAUGGCCUACCAAGGCGGUGACGGGUAGCCGGCCUGAGAGGGUGACCGGCCACAGUGAGACUGCGAAACGGCCCAGACUCCUACGGAGGGCAGCAGUUGGGGAUAUUGCACAAUGGGCGAACGGCUGAUGCAGCGUCGCCGCGUGGGGGAUGAAGGCUGUCGGGUUGUAAACUUCUUUCGGUAUCGAACGGGUAGGUAGGCAAGAAGCGCCGGCUAACUACGUGCCAGCAGCCGCGGUAAUAC